AUUGAACGCUGGCGGCAUGCCUUACACAUGCAAGUCGAACGGUAACAGGUCUUCGGAUGCUGACGAGUGGCGAACGGGUGAGUAAUACAUCGGAACGUGCCUAGUAGUGGGGGAUAACUACUCGAAAGAGUGGCUAAUACCGCAUGAGAUCUACGGAUGAAAGCAGGGGAUCGCAAGACCCUGUGCUACUAGAGCGGCCGAUGGCAGGUUAGGUAGUUGGUGGGAUAAAAGCUUACCAAGCCGACGAGCUGUAGCUGGUCUGAGAGGACGAUCAGCGACAGUGGGACUGAGACACGGACCAGACUCCUACGGGAGGCAGCAGUGGGGAAUUUUGGACAAUGGGCGCAAGCCUGAUCCAGCAAUGCCGCGUGCAGGAUGAAGGCCUUCGGGUUGUAAACUGCUUUUGUACGGAACGAAAAGCCCCGGGUUAAUACCCUGGGGUCAUGACGGUACCGUAAGAAUAAGCACCGGCUAACUACGUGCCAGCCGCCGCAGUAA
rnacentral:rRNA from 1 species